rnacentral:SRP_RNA from 1 species
GGGCAAGUCUCCUACGACUUGCUCCUGUCAACUCCCCCAGGGUCGGAAGACAGCAAGGGUAGACAGUUGUAGCGGUGCGAUAGGAAUCGCUUGCCCCA